AGCAGCCGCGGUAAUUCCAGCUCCAAUAGCGUAUAUUAAAGUUGUUGCAGUUAAAAGCUCGUAGUUGAAUUUCGGGGUUAGUAGGUUGGUCAUGCCUCUGGUAUGUACUGGUCUCACUGAUUCCCCCUUCCUGAUGAACCUUAAUGCCAUUAAUUUGGUGUUUUGGGGAAUUUGGACUGUUACUUUGAAAAAAUUAGAGUGUUUAAAGCAAGCUAACGCUUGAAUACAUUAGCAUGGAAUAAUGAAAUAGGACGUUCGAUCCUAUUUUGUUGGUUUCUAGGAUUGACGUAAUGAUUAAUAGGGAUAGUUGGGGGCAUUAGUAUUCAAUUGUCAGAGGUGAAAUUCUUGGAUUUAUUGAAGACUAACUACUGCGAAAGCAUUUGCCAAGGAUGUUUUCAUUAAUCAAGAACGAAAGUUAGGGGAUCGAAGACGAUCAGAUACCGUCGUAGUCUUAACCAUAAACUAUGCCGACUAGGGAUCGGAUGAUGUUAAUUUUUUUAAUGACUCAUUCGGCGCCUUA
rnacentral:rRNA from 1 species